rnacentral:rRNA from 1 species
GAUGAACGCUGGCGGCGUGCCUAAUACAUGCAAGUCGAGCGAACAGAUAAGGAGCUUGCUCCUUUGACGUUAGCGGCGGACGGGUGAGUGACACGUGGGUAACCUACCUAUAAGACUGGAAUAACUCCGGGAAACCGGGGCUAAUGCCGGAUAACAUUUAGAACCGCAUGGUUCUAAAGUGAAAGAUGGUUUUGCUAUCACUUAUAGAUGGACCCGCGCCGUAUUAGCUAGUUGGUAAGGUAACGGCUUACCAAGGCAACGAUACGUAGCCGACCUGAGAGGGUGAUCGGCCACACUGGAACUGAGACACGGUCCAGACUCCUACGGGAGGCAGCAGUAGGGAAUCUUCCGCAAUGGGCGAAAGCCUGACGGAGCAACGCCGCGUGAGUGAUGAAGGUCUUCGGAUCGUAAAACUCUGUUAUUAGGGAAGAACAAAUGUGUAAGUAACUGUGCACGUCUUGACGGUACCUAAUCAGAAAGCCACGGCUAACUACGUG